rnacentral:lncRNA from 1 species
AAACUCAUCUGCUUGUAAAUUCAUUGUGCAAAAUAACUCCAGGAUACCAUUACCUCUGUUACCUAUUAUAUUCCAUGACUGAUCACAUCAACCAGUGAGUGCUUAACAACUUCUACUGAUACCGUGAUUCCAAUGAAUUGACGUAUAUGAGCGUAGUUCUCAGGUACGCCGGGAGCUGGAUUCCAUCCCUGAGGAUAGUGAUUGAUGGUAUAGAGUUUUGAUAGAAAACAGGUAAAAAAAAUAUACCAAAAGAAAGAAGAGGUGAAACAGAGUAGAGAGAAUCGGG